rnacentral:rRNA from 1 species
GACGAACGCUGGCGGCGUGCUUAACACAUGCAAGUCGAACGGACAGGCUACAGCUUGCUGGAGUACUCGAGUGGCGCACGGGUGAGUAACACAUGGGUAAUCUGCACUGCACUCUCGGAUAAGCCUGGGAGACUGGGUCUCAUACUGGAUAUGAUAUUUCUACUUAUGGGGUUUGGUGGAAAGUGUUUCGGUGUAGGAUGAGUACGCGGCCUAUCAGCUUGUUGGUGGGGUGUGGGCAUGCAAAGGCGUCGAAGGGUAGCCGGCCGGAGAGGGUGAUCGGCCACAAUAGGACUGAGGUACGGCCCAGACUCCUACGUGAGGCAGCAGUGGGGAAUAUUGCACAAUGGGCGGAAGCCAGAUGCAGCGACGCCGCGUGAGUGAAGACGUCCUUCGGGUUGUAAACAUCUUUCAGCAGAGACGAAGAGUAAGUGACGGUACCUGCAGAAGAAGCACCGGCUAACUACGUG